rnacentral:rRNA from 1 species
AUGCAUGUGCGCCACAGUUUCUUUUUAGGGAAUGUGCGCCACAGUCAGCCCAUGUACAUCCGCCGCGUAUACGCGGGCCUUCUGGCCGCUGGAUUUUUUAUUUUAUUUCGUUUGAGGAUUGCUGCAUUUCUUUUCAAUCGAAAAAAAACACAUAUAGGACACUGUCCGCCGGGCCCGGUGUACGCACACGUAGCCAGCCAGCCAGGCCGCGUGGCAGGUGUGGUGGAGCCUUCAUACAACUCGAAGCAGCACGGGACAAGUAGUAGUACAGGACACUGUCCACCGGGCCCGGCUCGGCUGUCAGGCAGGCAGGGCCUGCAACCCCAACGGGAAGUUGCAGUUGCACGACGACGACGAAAUCUGUACGCUCCGUCUGCUGCCGCCGUUCAUGCUUCCCUCCCGCCAAAGAAAGCCUCGGCGGCUCAGCAGCUGGCGGCGAAAUUUCUCGAACAGCCUGGGCGGGACGGACGGAGGGCCCAUCCUCCGCCAUCUCCCUCCGCAACGAUCCAAAACGGCCGGCCUUGGAUGCGCGCCGGACGACGGAUCACGCUCCGGCCUCCAGCAGUAGCCGUUGCUCCCGCCGCUGGGCCCGCCGCGGCGGUUGCAAAGGCGGCAGAAAGGACGAGCGCGCCAGCCCGACUCACCCGCCAUGUCUGCCGCCGCACCUCCCUCUCCCUGGCAGCCUGUACUUAUCCGACCUCCGCCGUGCACGCCUCCCCUUCCUCCCAGCGUUUACGCAGGAACCUGCGCGCCAAAGUUGGACAAAAGUUUUCACCGGGGAGCAGCGGCCUUGGAUCUGACCGAGCUCCGGCGUGCUUUACACACGCUUUUUACUUGCGUGCGCCACCGGACCACGGUCCACGGCAGCGGGGCACAUGCGCUGCCGUUCGUACCGCCGUGCUGCAUGCAGCAGGCGCGGGCGCGGGCGUGGGCGGGUCCAGCCCAGCGGCGCUCAGGCCAACUCCAUUGUGCGACCCCGAACGGACUUCCGUUUUGUUCUAUUUUUGUCCUGGGAUGCGGUGA